UAGAGAGUAGUAAAAUGGAAUUACAUGGAGUUUUGAUCUCUCAGUUAUAGGUUCAAUUCCUAUCUUUCUAU
rnacentral:tRNA from 1 species